GGGGUUUUAGCUCAGUUGGUAGAGCGCCUGUUUUGCACACAGGAGGCCAGCGGUUCGAAUCCGCUAAGCUCCACCA
rnacentral:tRNA from 2 species